rnacentral:tRNA from 1 species
GACGCCGUGGUGUAGAGGCAACACGCCGGGCUUUCAACUCGGAGACCGCGGGUUCGAUUCCCGCCGGCGUUA